rnacentral:tRNA from 1 species
GCGCCAUUAGCUCAGUUGGAUAGAGCAUUUGAGUUCUAAUCAAUAGGUCGCCAGUUCGAAUCUGGCAUGGCGCUCCA